rnacentral:rRNA from 1 species
GACGUAGGGCGCGAGCGUUGUCCGGAUUUAUUGGGCGUAAAGAGCUCGUAGGCGGCUUGUUGCGUCAGCUGUGAAAACCCGCAGCUCAACUGUGGGCUUGCAGCUGAUACGGGCAGGCUUGAGUUCGGUAGGGGAGACUGGAAUUCCUGGUGUAGCGGUGAAAUGCGCAGAUAUCAGGAGGAACACCGGUGGCGAAGGCGGGUCUCUGGGCCGAUAUUGACGCUGAGGAGCGAAAGCGUGGGGAGCGAACAGG